rnacentral:rRNA from 1 species
GACGAACCGUGCGACCGUUGUUCGGAAUCACUGGGCUUAAAGGGCGCGUAGGCGGCUUGCCAAGUCAGUGGUGAAAUCCUGCAGCUUAACUGCAGAAGUGCCUUUGAUACUGGCGAGCUCGAGGGAGGUAGGGGUAUGUGGAACUUCUGGUGAAGCGGUGAAAUGCGUUGAUAUCAGAAGGAACGCCGGUGGCGAAAGCGACGUACUGGACCUCUUCUGACGCUGAGGCGCGAAAGCUAGGGGAGCAAACGGG